CGGAUUGUAGUCUGCAACUCGACUACAUGAAGCUGGAAUCGCUAGUAAUCGCGAAUCAGAAUGUCGCGGUGAAUACGUUCCCGGGUCUUGUACACACCGCCCGUCACACCAUGGGAGUCAGUAACGCCCGAAGUCAGUGACCCAACCAUAACCGGAGGGAGCUGCCGAAGGUGGGACCGAUAACUGGGGUGAAGUCGUAACAAGGUACC
rnacentral:rRNA from 1 species